GACGAACGCUAGCUACAGGCUUAACACAUGCAAGUCGAGGGACCGGCUCACGGGUGAGUAACACGUAUCCAACCUGCCCUUUACUCGGGGAUCGCCUUCCGCAAUCAAGAUUAAUACCCGAUAUUAAGGUUGGGCAUGCGUUCCAUUAGGUUGUUGGUGAGGUAACGGCCCACCAAGCGUUCGAUGGAUAGCGGUUCUGAGAGGAAGGUCCCCCACAUGGGAACUGAGACACGGUCCAAACUCCUACGGGAGGCAGCAGUGAGGAAUAUUGGUCAAUGGGCGGUAGCCUGAACCAGCCAAGUAGCGUGAAGGAUGAAGGCCUAGGGUUGUAAAGUACUUUCAGUCGGGAGGCGUUACCGACAGGAGAAGCACCGGCUAACUCCGUGCCAGCAGCCGCGGUAAUAC
rnacentral:rRNA from 1 species